ACCCGUUGAUCCUGCGGGAGACCGCUGCUAUCAGAUUCCGACUUAAUUAAGCUAGUCCAGGGGGCGUAAGCCAUUGGUAGACAGUUCCAUAACAUGUCGAUAAUCUACCCUUAGGAUAGGGAUAACCUUGGGAAAUUGAGGCUAAUACCUGAUAGAAGAAAGAUACUGUAAUGUUCUUUCUUUGAAAGAUUAUGCCUAAGGAUGAGUCGGCACCCGAUUAGGUUGUUGGUGGGGGAAUGGCCCACCAAGCCCGAGAUCGGUAGGGGUCUUGAGAGAGGUAGCCUCGAGGAGGAUACUGAGAUAAGGGUUUUGACUCUAUGGAGUAUAGCAAGUGUGAAAACUUUAUAAUACACGAAAGUGUGAUAAGGGGACUCUGAGUGCCUAUGCUUAGCAUAGGCUUUUGCCAAGAGUAAAAAUCUUGGAGAAUAAGUGGUGGGUAAGACUGGUGCUAGUAGUUGUGGUAACACCAGCGCCACGAGUGGGGGUCGGUAUUAUUGGGCCUAAAGCGUUCGUAGCCGGUUAGAUAAAUCUUUUGUGAAAUUGUAGGGUUUAACCCUACAGUGUGCAAAAGACACUAUCUGACUAGAGACCGGGAGGUGUUAGAGGUAUUCAAGGGGUAGCGGUAAAAUGCAAUAAUCCCAUGAGGACCAUUAGUGGUGAAGGCGUCUAACAAGAACGGGUCUGACGGUGAGGAACGAAAGCCAGGGGAGUGAAUCGGAUUAGAUACCCGAGUAGUCCUGGCCGUAAACGCUGUGAGUUAGGUGUUGCAUAUUCUAUAAGAAUAUGCAGUGUCGUAGAGAAGUCGUUAAACUCACCGCCUGGGUAGUACGGUCGUAAGACUGAAAUUUAAAGGAAUUGGCGGGGGAGCACAACAAGGGGUGCGGCGUGCGGUUUAAUCCAAUUCAAUAUGGAGAAUUUUACCAGAGGCGACGGCAGGAUGAAAGUCAGGUUGAAGACCUUACUUAAUAAGCCGAGAGGUGGUGCAUGGCCGUCGUCAGCUCGUGUUGUGAAGUGUCCUGUUAAGUCAGGCAACGAGCGAGACCUGCACUUACAAUUGUUAUCAGUUUAUUUAUGAGGACUGAGCACAUUGUAAGGACUGCCUUGGAAACAAGGAGGAAGGUGCAGGCAACGAUAGUCUGUAUGCCCCGAAUCCUCUGGGCUACACGCGCGCAAUAAUGGUAUGGGUAAUGGGAUGUAACUCCGAAAGGAGAAGUUAAACCUCUAAACCAUAUCCUAGUCCAGAUUGAGGAUUGUAAUUUAUCCUCACGAUGUUGGAAUCCCUAGUAACCAGACUUUAGUAUAGUCCGGUGAAUAUGUCCCUGCUCCUUGUAUAUACCGCCCGUCAAACCAACCGAGCAGGGUUUAGGUAAAACUUAGUUUUUUAAUUAAGUUGAAUCUAAGCUCAGUGAGGUGGGUUAAGUUGUUAUAAGGUA
rnacentral:rRNA from 1 species